UACGGGGGGGGCAAGCGUUGUUCGGAAUUACUGGGCGUAAAGGGCUCGUAGGCGGCCAACUUAGUCAGACGUGAAAUCCCUCGGCUUAACCGGGGAACUGCAUCUGAUACUGGAUGGCUUGAGAUUGGGAGAGGGAUGCGGAAUUCCAGGUGUAGCGGUGAAACGCGUAGAUAUCUGGAGGAACACCGGUGGCGAAGGCGGCAUCCUGGACCAACACUGACGCUGAGGAGCGAAAGCCAGGGGAGCAAACGGG
rnacentral:rRNA from 1 species